GAUUCUAUUUUAUGUAAGUUCAAUGCUUUUCAUCCUCAGUUUUCUCUAAAAAAGAGUUUCACAUGGUGACGGUGAGGCAAAAAAAAAUAGUAAACUCUGUAUGUCCCUGCAUAUUGUUAAUGUGACACAAAAACUGUCUCUAUUGCAGAGAUCUUGAACAAACACCAUGUCACCAUGUUUAUACAAAGAGGCUGUCAGAUAUGUGGAAAUCUUAGCUGAAAAAUAAUUGAUCUGUUAUUGUCUACUACUCUUCAACAUACUGGGUGCCAAAGUUACCAUUCCCUUAGCAGAAAUGACAGAACAAUUCAGUAUGUCCACACUUCAUCAGAACAAAUAUGUCUUGUUGGUUCCCCCUUUAAGAGAUCAUUAACACACAUGCAAAGAAGGAAGAAACAACAAAGCCUUUCCUCUUUCAGUAUGAGGAUGCCCAACCACUCUACUCAUCUGGCUGUCAAGAGUGGGCUUUGCUUCUUACUUCUUCAGUUCUUUUCUAGGUCUUGCCAAAAAGUCUCUUGUUUUCUGUAAAGAUUAAAAGUGUAACAAUUUCUUGCUACUCAUCAGCCUAUCAUUGGAUGAAAAUUCCCUCAUUUUCUUCCAAAUUCUCUGAUAUGUGGAGUACAUUCAUUUAUCUAGAGGGUGAUGGAGACUCCUUUUCAAAAAAUUGAGGUAAGUCCUGGAAAAGACACAACUUAUAGUAAAUUCAAGUUGCCAGAGAAGUUUGAUCUUCAGUGUGGUUUACUUUUUGUUAUCUGUUAUCAGGAGAGGUAAUUUGUGUUUAAAAGUGAAGGCUUUCAGGGCUAGCAAAGGAACUGAAGAAACUCAGGAACUGCUGAGUGAGCAGAGAUGAAAUCUCACUGGAUUGCCCAGCCAGUAAAAGCUAAGGUGGUGAGGAAAUGACUGCAUUCUCUAAGGAGGGGAGAAAGAGAACUGAAAGGGCCGCAAUUACACAAGAAAUGUGUAUGAGCUGACCGCAUACAAAUUUUGGCUGUCAACAACAGGAACUACAGAUAAAAAAGGAGCUCAGGAGUACUAUCUAAGAGGAGAAGAGUGGACAGAAACAUCCUUGUUUUAAGCUGGACUUUCACGUUGUUGGGAAGGAUUUUCUUAGAUGAUUGUUAGCAGUACGAAAAUUAUGGCCUUCAUGGCUGAGAUUGUUUGAUCUGAUCUUCUGAUUCACAGAGAAUGUCUUCUAGGACUUCAAGAGUGUGAACACCACACAACUUUUAAAUGCUUUCUGCGGUGGUAUCCCACUUCCUGUUCAAUCCCUCUUAAAUUUCUGCCAGUGCUUGUAAGACUCUUUGGAAUUGAGACUGUCCACUUAGAUGCUUAGUCUGCACCAAAUCCCUCAGCUGCUAUUGCUAUAAGUAAUACAGAGUACUACUAAUGCUCUGUAUCAUUAGGUAAACUUAGUAAAGAACAAAACAAACUUUCUGUGUGGGACUAAUUCUGAACUGAAGUGCAAAUGACUUGUUAGUAUUAAAUUAUAAGUAAAUUAUAAGUCCUUGUGCUCUCCUUUCUUCUUUAAAAAAAAAAAAUAAUAUAUAUAUAUUAUUUUAUUUUUAUUUUUUAUUUUUAUUUCUCUAAAACAGCAAAUUGCUAAGUUGUUCCACUUUAUAGACAACCACACAGCCUUGGCAAAUGCCGAUAAUGAUGUCACCUUUCAUAAUCUGGAAAAUAACUUUUUUUUUUUCCCAACUUAGAUGCAGUGUGUGUUUUCUUUGCUCUUUGUAUGAAAUAGAGUGUGUGAGCAGAUCACAAGGCCAGACCUUCACUCAUUUUCAACCAGAGUGAUCAUACAUAGGAACACAGAGUUCAAAUUCAUUCUCUGUAACUCAUGAUAUUAAACUAUUUUGAACGGAACUGCAAAAGAAGGAGAUGCAAUUUGAUUUUUAUCCUAUCAAAUCUUUCACCAAAUGUUGGAUUAUCUGAACGAAGGGCGAUCCUUUGUUCCUUUGCAAAUGGAGCCAUUGAAAUGGUCGCUAAGUUUACCACGUUCUGCCCUCCAUCAUCUCCCACCCUGCAGGCUCAGCAGCAGCAGCUAGCUUGAAAACAAGAACUUACGAAUGAGAAAAGGGUGGAGGACUUCCUCCUAAGGCAAAGCUGUAUUUCUCCAAGAACCUCCUGAGUAUAAUAACAUUAACAAAUACGUGAGUUGAGAUAUUGUCACCUCUUUCAUGUGUCUGUCCAUACUUUUGUUAAUAAUUUUGCUUAAACUAUUGUCCUGGCUUCAAUUUCAAGUCAUUUUACUUUAAUUCACUGUACGCCUUUUAACCAGGCUCUGAGCACUUUGGAGUUAAUCUAGGGUGUUUUGAUCAGACAGUAAUUGCCAUAAAGCUUUCCCUAAACUUUUCAGACAUUGAACUGGUAUUUUUACAGUCAAUGUUGAAUCUCUGCUGGUUGUAAUCCACAGCAGUGCACCUGGAUGCAAUUGUGCUUGUAAAACUAAACUUGACUGAUGUGUUUCACUUAGUGAGGACUCCAUUUGUUUCAUUGUAAAAAUUAGAGAGUGAUUCAGCAUUCAUGAGAAAACGUGGCAACAAAAGGUUAGCUGAACAGUAGUAGGAGUGGAGCCAUAUUGGGAGCAAUUGAAGGAGGAAAUGGUCUGGAUUUAUUGUCUGCAUUAAAGAUAUUGUGGGUCCCAUGGAUACCAGGAGUGUCAUGGAGACACAGCUAAUAGGAUUUUUAUUGGAUUAUUGUCGGGCUGUUGCACCUGCUUAUAAUGAGGAUGAUGUAGUUGAAUUUCUGGCACAACCCUUGAACAAGGAAUCAGAAAGGAGCUGAGAGAGCUGGAAGCUCUAAUAUUAAUUUUGAAGGAAAAAUUUACAAUUGCCUGAAAGCCAUUUCGAGCAAGCCAGCAGAACUGGGUAGCCUUUCUGUCUCUUUACAUAUACUAAUGUGUAGAAAAUACAUAGGUCAUUUCAGAAAUAAUGCCCAUUUAUUUCCAUGGAAACUACAACAGGUACAAAGAGCACAAUAACACUAUUUGAUAUACAAAAUUCUCAGCUACAAAAGACCAUUCUUCAAAACAGUCACCACAACCACCACCAACUUUGCAUUUUCACCAGCAAUGAAAAAGAGCCUGCAUGCUUCUCUCGUAAAAA